UUGACGGCGGAGAUGGCGUUCAAGGACUCGUCCUCCGCCGUCAUCAAAAUCCGGCAGCACCUGCCGGACUUCUUACAGUCCGUCAAGCUCAAGUACGUCAAGCUUGGGUAUGGCUAUACCGUUAACGCAGCCACCAUUAUUUUGUUCCUCCUCAUUUUACCGCUCUUCGUCUCCGUAAUAAUCCAGCUCACCGGUCUGGAGCUGGAACGGAUCACCGAGCUCUGGACCAACCAGGCCGUCUGGCUCGAAAGCAUCGACGCCGCCACCAGGUUCACCGGUUCAGGGGUCCUUCUCUUCUUCUUUGGCCUCUACUGGGCCAAGAGGUCUAGACCGGUCUACCUCGUCGACUUCUCAUGCUACAAACCGGAAGACGAACGCAAAAUGUCCGUCGAGUCGUUUCUAAAAAUGACGGAAGACAACGGCGCAUUUGCUCCGGACACGGUUAACUUCCAGACCCGCAUUUCGAACCGGUCCGGUCUAGGCGACGAGACGUACUUGCCUCGCGGAAUCACCUCCAACCCGCCACAGCUGUCAAUGGAGCAAGCCCGGUCCGAGGCCGAGUCGGUCAUGUUCGGCGCGCUCGACUCACUCUUCGAAAAAACCGGAAUCAAACCGAACCAAAUCGACAUCCUCAUCGUUAACUGCAGCCUGUUCAACCCGACGCCGUCACUGUCCUCCAUGAUCGUCAACCACUACAAGCUCAAAACCGACAUUAAAUCCUACAACCUCGGCGGCAUGGGCUGUAGCGCCGGACUGAUCUCCAUCGACCUAGCCAAGGACCUCCUCAAAGCAAACCCCAACUCCUACGCCGUCGUAGUCAGCACCGAAAACAUAACCUUAAACUGGUACUUCGGAAACGACAAAUCCAUGCUCCUCUGCAACUGUAUUUUCCGAAUGGGCGGGGCCGCGGUUCUCCUAUCAAACAAAA
rnacentral:lncRNA from 1 species